ensembl:lncRNA
GCGAAAGAAGUCCGGUAGCGAAGAAGAGAAGGAGAAGGAUAACUUUGCUAACAAACAUGCCGGAGGCACACAAACGAAUACGAAUCGACAACAUGAAUGUGGUAGAUCAUCUAUUGGAGCACAGAUUUGAGACCCUUAUUCUGGAGGAAAAUGUUUGAGCUAUUUUCUUUGAUUUCUCCUCCAGGACACUGCUUAGGCCUAUGGGAGUGUCUGCUGUCCUGGCAGGUCCUUGUGGGUGGAGGGCUGAAGAAUGGGAAACACCAAGCCAGGGCUACAAACAGCAUGGUGGGACACUUGACUAAGAUAGCCGGGAGCAGGCGGAGUCAACGUCUACAAAGAUCGCCACGACUGUGAAAAUAAAUAGAUGACGUCACGAACACUGGAAUCCAUCUGUGCCGCCCAGUUGAUCACCGAGGACGAGGGCUUGGGUCGGCUGGCCCACACGGUGCAAGUCUUGGUGGACCUUGCGCCGACUGCUGCCAGCCACCGCCGCGCUAGCAGACCGGAGCCGCUAGGGGCGGACAGGCUAAGCACUGCUCCAUCCUUCUCUUGAAAGUUAAAGAUGGAUUUCUAAAAACAGGCGUUUAGUUCGAUUUUUUUGGUUUUCAAGGAGGCCUAUAUAAAUUAUGGGAAGUGGAAGUCGAGCAACUUGUUUUAAAGUUGAUUCAUAGUUUUUUUUUGUUAGGAUCUUUAACUUUAAACAUUUUUUUACUCGUCAAACAUCUAAUUAUCAUGCAAUAGGCCUAUCUCACAAAAAUCGGAAAUGACGUCACACCGGGUAAACAUUCUUCCGGCAAAGUCAUUUCAGCUGUUGGCAUCAACACAAAAAUGCAGCGUUUCUUCGCCACUUCCCUGGUGGGUUUUCCAAAAUUACGAUUUGAAGAUGUGCAGAAGAUUGUGGAGUCACACUCAGCAACACCACAGUCCAGGCUGAGAAAGGGGUACAAGUUCUUUGUGGAGGAGUUCGUACACAAUUAUCAAGGUAAGUGGUCUAAGGUGUUUUGUUGUUGUCAGUAGGCUACUCAAUGGCCUUGCUCAUUCAUGUUUUGUGAUGACAAGCAAACCAUAUACGAUCCAUAUAAAUCGUCAGAAAUAUUGUCUGUGUGUAAAAUGAUCAUAUUUGUUAUGUGUAGACUAUAAUAUUAUGAAUAUAAUUUAGGGAUGCACCGAAAUAAAUUCGUGGCCAAAACCGAAAUCGAAUAUACUGAAACAGUUGGCCGAAGGCCGAAACCGAAUACUGAAUGUGUCUUUUUUUUCCACCAUUGCAUAAAUCAAACAAUUAAAUGACCUUUAUAAACUUUUUUAUCUUGCUUUUCUAUAAAAAAAAUUGAUAUAAAAUAUUUAUUUAAUACUGAACGUUUUCUAACCUUCCAGCAGACAUUAUAGCAAGAAUUUAAGAACAAUGUACCUUUGAAUAAGUGAGUAAAUCUUUUUUUUUUUUUUUUAUAAAUAAAUCAAAUGUUCAGUGUAUUAUGUUCGGCCUUUAUUCACUCCUUCGGCCGAAACCGAACAUUAUGUUUUGGGCCAUUUUCGGUCGAACAUGUUCGGUGGCCGAAUAUUCGGUGCAUCCCUAAUAUAAUUAGCCAUGGUGGCUAUGAAGUCUCCGUGUGUAGCGUUAGCAUUUUAGCAUUAGGUUAACCAAGGAUAGGUUCAGCUAGUUAUUUGCUGACUUGUUUUUGUCCGAUCAGUGACAUAUUAUUAACAUUAUGUAUAUGCUCACUGUCAAAUAUAGUUGUUGGAAAGGUGGUAGUGAGAGGUAGAUGCAACCAGUCGAUGAGGAGGAAUGAGGAGCCCCACAUACUACAGGUUUCUGCUGAGUUAGGGCCCGUUGGCCCAAGUCUGUUUGUUUUGAUAGUCUGUCUGGACCAACAGCUGCAGUUGCAGUUUUCCUCUUCUUCUGAAGUUCAGGUCAUUUUCAUUGUUCUUUCUUACAAACAGUACCGUAGCGUGCUUAAGACUUGGCCCACCUAGCUUGCUGCAAUGUUGUGGCUGUACAGACCUAUGUAUUUUUCUUCCUCUUCAUUAAGGCACAAGCCGUAAAUAAAGGAAAUUUGUUCAGUGCAUUAAAAGGACAAACAUCUAGGCUAGUUCAUGUUAUAACAUUGCUAAAACAACAGAUGUAAUGGUGGCCCAAGAGUUUGUACAUGGCUUUUCUGCGGUUGCAGACUCCUUGCCGGUUUCCAAUGGCCUUAUAUCAAGGUCCUACCUACUAAGUUCAGUAACUAAAUUCUUAUUGUGUUCACAGAUCACCCUGGAGGCUGUUGGACAACUUGGUCCCUCAGAGCACAGUAGCUGUGCUGCGGGCAAAGGCUUCUGUAGCCAUGUAACCGCUCUGCUCUUCCAGACAGCGCAUUAUGUGCAGCUGGGCCUUGAGGUGGUUCCACCUUCCCUGGUCUGUACCAGUCAACCACAGAUGUGGCAUCAACCUAGAACACAGGGAAUCCAUCCGGAGGCUGUGAGUGACAUUGUGGUGAAAAAAAGCCAAGUCAGUGGGGAAGAGUCAAGUACACACUCUACAGAGCGUAUGCUGCUAAGACAUUUUUUUUGCAAUUUGCACUCUGUUAAACUUCCUCAUUAUGACAAGAUGCAUAUUAGAAUAUAUCUGUUAUCACUACAAUAUUAAAAAAAACAGUCCCAUUUUUAUUUGACGUUUCCUCUAGGGCCCCUACCAGAACAACACAUCUUGGUGUCGGGAGCAAAGCUGAGUGAGAUUCACCCCUCGCCCUUUGAUGUCCCAAAUCCUAGAGGGAAUAUCCAGCUUGGAGUUGGUUCCAUCUCAGCUGUGCUGACCUGGAAGAUGUCAGCAAUGACCUGUUCUUUAAGGCCAGUUGCUACUCUACAACAGUAGAUGACAAACUCAUCAAUGACUGGAAUCUUCCUUGAAGGCCUUGGUGUUGGAAUCGCCUCUUGUCCAAUCCUCUGUGCUUUGCUCCAAUAAACAAUAUAUUGUGUUGAGGGGCAAACAGACUCCCAAAACACUUGAAACACUCUGUUGAGGACAGUUUGUGGCCCCAUGGACAUUUCUUGCAGCCUUGCCUCCAGCUCAGCAAUAUACUCCAGGGCAUCAUCCAGUGCACCUACAAAAAAUUAAGACAAAUCGGUCUUCAUUACCAUUCAUUAGUAUUCAUACUUUAUUUUUAUUGUAUUGUUAUUCGGUAUACUUAACCGUAUAUUUAUUAUUUAUUUAUUUGUACUGUUUUCUGUUUUUCUUUUUUAUAUAUUAACAAUAAGUUAAAUGUUGUGUGUUGUACAUAGAGAGCAAAAACCAAAGUCAAAUUCCUCGUUUGUUCGCAAACCUGGCCAAUAAAGCUGAAUCUGAAUCUGAAUUAAUAUGCAACCCCAGUUUAACAGUACGUCUGAUGUUGAUUGAAUGUUUUAACGUUAACCAUGCCAUGUUUGGCAAAAGUAUACAAUAGCCCAACAAGUGUUGAACACAAAUAACAGACACGUUCGAGUACCUGUUUGGGGUGCCCCCUUCUUGGUGGCCGUGUGAGCGGGGACUCGAACCUGAGUCUACAGAGUGUUAGCCAACACUCUUACCGCUGCAUCACCAAGACGCCGACUAGAACAUUCCCGGAAGACCUACUUGACUUUACAAUUCAGCAGACUUAGAAAUAAUAGACUCAAUUUAACACAAUGCCAUUGACAUUCCCAGGACCUAAGCCCCAGUCUCCGGAUUGAAAAUCACAAGCUCUCCCUGCAGCACCAGACACAGUGGCGUCACUAGGCUGUUUUAUUCGGGGCUAAAGCCCCGGAUCUAAUUUGAUUAGCCCCGAAUCUUUUUUCUUAAAAAAAGAAAAGAAAAAAAUAUUGUAUAUAUAUUUUUAUUUUGCUGCAUGCAGAGCCUGUGCCAUAUCCGCACGUCGCACAUGCUCCCAUUUGUUGGGACUCUUGCGUAGCUUACUGCUAGGAAUUUCUGUUCUACUGUUCUUCUGUUCUCAAGAUUUUAAGCCAUGAAUUGAUGAACUUGCAUUGAAGAAAAUAUGUCAGUUUUCUGUGGGCUGUAAAUAGGCCAAUGAGGCUAAAUAGCAUGCCAAUAUUGAUGACUGAUUGUGUCAAGUGUCUAAGGAUGAAUGCUAACAUGAUUUCUUUCCAACUUUUGCCUUAGGUUACAAUUUAUCUAACUAGCUAGCUGCUCACCCUUUUCAAUUCCAAUGGUGGCUGUCAUUUCAUUACCAAUGUUAAGUGUCAUAAAUAGUUAACACUGGUGCUGAAUCAUGAUUCCUAAAAAAUAAAUACCCAAAACAUGUGAUAUGUUUUAAAUUUGCAGAAAGUUUUGAAAAAUCCAGGAUGCCCGAGAGCCUUACUGCAUUAUAUUCCAUAAUAGUUGUUUCUUUAGGAACCUGAAUGUUGUCUUUUCCUGCACAGAAAACAAAAUAUUUAAACUAUAAAAUGAUGUGGAAAAGGCACAGAUAGAUUAAUAAAAAUCCACCAGAAUGAAGGAAAUUAAGUUUGUUUGACUCUCAAAAUUUUCUGGGGGAGCACCCCCAUACCCCCCACCUAUAAUUUGUCCCCCAAAAUGUUGAAAUGAAACCUACCCUAUAUGGCCCUGUGCGCAGGUUGUAUACAAUACAUUCAUACACAUGUUGUUUUUACUUUUUGGAUUAAAAAGAAGGCAUGUCAGCAAACUCCAUGUCGGCCCUUAGUGUGAUUAUCAUUUCAUCAUUGAGUGGCCCUUUGUGAAAAUUAGUUUGACACCCCUGAUAUAAUGUAAGGUCGGUCUCACUUGUAUUCAUUUUACUCUGAAAUAACUUGAAUGGAACUUUAGAUGUCUGGGGAUAGGCAGCAGUCAGGUAGCUAUUCAAAGCUAUAAUUACCUGCCUAUUUUUUUUUUUUAGGUAAAGCAUUAUGAACAAAAAUGUGCAUUCGCAAUAAAGCAUACAACAAAAUGUGCCUGUCCUAUUCCAUCUUGGGCUAAGCCCCGGAUGUUUCAGAAACCUAGAAACACCCCUGACAGACAGUGAGUUCAGAAGAUCAGAGUUUCAGAAGAUCAGAGGAUAUAUAUGACCUAACAAUACAUGACAAUUUUUAAAGAACAUGUCUGCUGCUUCUAUUGUUUGAGUCCUUGUGUUUAUUGUGUUCAUGUAAGGGACUGUUCUUCUAUUGUUUGAGUCCUUGAGUUUAUUGUGUACAUGUGAGGGACUGUUUUUCUGUUUGGUUAAUAACGACUCAGCGGGUUCACUGAAUGUUCUCUGUGUUCAGCAGAGGAUCAAUUUACAUUUUAAGUUCGGGGGUUCACUGAAUAAAAAGCACAAU